rnacentral:rRNA from 1 species
CCUACGGGAGGCAGCAGUCGAGAAUCAUUCACAAUGGGGGAAACCCUGAUGGUGCGACGCCGCGUGGGGGAAUGAAGGUCUUCGGAUUGUAAACCCCUGUCAUGUGGGAGCAAAUUAAAAAGAUAGUACCACAAGAGGAAGAGACGGCUAACUCUGUGCCAGCAGCCGCGGUAAUACAGAGGUCUCAAGCGUUGUUCGGAAUCACUGGGCGUAAAGCGUGCGUAGGCUGUUUCGUAAGUCGUGUGUGAAAGGCGCGGGCUCAACCCGCGGACGGCACAUGAUACUGCGAGACUAGAGUAAGGGAGGGGGAACCGGAAUUCUCGGGGUAGCAGUGAAAUGCGUAGAUAUCGAGAGGAACACUCGUGGCGAAGGCGGGUUCCUGGACAUUAACUGACGCUGAGGCACGAAGGCCAGGGGAGCGAAAGGGAUUAGAUACCCUUGUAGUC